rnacentral:rRNA from 1 species
AUUGAACGCUGGCGGCAGGCCUAACACAUGCAAGUCGAGCGAGCGGCGGACGGGUGAGUAAUGUCUGGGAAACUGCCUGAUGGCGGGGGAUAACUACUGGAAACGGUAGCUAAUACCGCAUACCAUCAGAUGUGCCCCGAUGGGAUUAGCUAGUAGGUGGGGUAAUGGCUCACCUAGGCGACGAUCCCUCGCUGGUCUGAGAGGAUGACCAGCCACACUGGAACUGAGACACGGUCCGGACCCCUAGGGGAGGAAGCAGGGGGGAAUAUUGGACAAUGGGCGCAAGCCUGAGGCAGCCAUGCGGGGUGUGGGAAGAAGGCCUUCGGGUGGUAAAGCACUUUAAGCGGGGAGGCGUUACCCGAAGAAGAAGCACCGGCUAACUCCGUGCCAGCAGCCGCGGUAAUAC